GCCGUCUUAGCUCAUUUGGUAGAGCAACUCCAUGGUAAGGAGUAGGUGCUGGGUUCAAAUCCCAGAGACGGCU
rnacentral:tRNA from 1 species